CCUACGGGUGGCUGCAGUGGGGAAUAUUGCACAAUGGGCGCAAGCCUGAUGCAGCCAUGCCGCGUGUGUGAAGAAGGCCUUCGGGUUGUAAAGCACUUUCAGCGGGGAGGAAGGCGUUAAGGUUAAUAACCUUGUCGAUUGACGUUACCCGCAGAAGAAGCACCGGCUAACUCCGUGCCAGCAGCCGCGGUAAUACGGAGGGUGCAAGCGUUAAUCGGAAUUACUGGGCGUAAAGCGCACGCAGGCGGUCUGUCAAGUCGGAUGUGAAAUCCCCGGGCUCAACCUGGGAACUGCAUUCGAAACUGGCAGGCUGGAGUCUUGUAGAGGGGGGUAGAAUUCCAGGUGUAGUGGUGAAAUGCGUAGAGAUCUGGAGGAAUACCGGUGGCGAAGGCGGCCCCCUGGACAAAGACUGACGCUCAGGUGCGAAAGCGUGGGGAGCAAACAGGAUUAGAUACCCGUGUAGUC
rnacentral:rRNA from 1 species